rnacentral:rRNA from 1 species
AAUGAACGCUGGCGGCAGGCCUAACACAUGCAAGUCGAACGGUAACACAGGAAGAGUUUGCUCUUAGGGGUGGCGAGUGACGGGUGGGUGAGGAAUACAUCAGAAUCCACUUUUUCGUGGGGGAUAUCGUGGGGAAACUGACGCUAACACCGCAUACGACCUACGGCAGAAAGCAGGGGAUAAUGGUACCUUGCCCUCACGCAUGAGCCGAUGUCGGAUUAGCUAGGUGGCGGGGUAAAGGCCCACCAACGCGACGAUCCUUAGCUAGUCUGAGAGGAAGACCAGCCACACUGGAACUGAGACACGGUCCAGACUCCUACGGGAGGCACCAGUGGGGAAUAUUGGACAAUGGGCGCAAGCCUGAUCCAGCCAUACCGCGUGGGUGAAGAAGGCCUUCGGGUUGUAAAGCCCUUUUGUUGGGAAAGAAGAGCGGCAGGUUAAUACCCCGCUGUACUGACGGUACCCAAAGAAUAAGCACCGGCUAACUUCGUG